UGGCCCACUGAGUCGUGCGGGUGAGAUCCUGCGUUCAGGUUCGAGCAUCGCGCAGCGAUACGACAACGCGCAGCGUUGCCCGCAGGGUGAGGGCCACAGGCCGAAUCAAUCCUGCACGACCCACCC
rnacentral:sRNA from 1 species